GAGGUGAGGCGGCCCCGGCGCCAUCUUGGAGUCGUGGUGGCGAUGCGCGAAGGGCCUUUGGGGGCCGAGGUGUGGGGCGGCCCCGAGCCUGAGAAAUCAUCCGCCUCCCAGUGACUCAGUGGCAUCUCCACCCACCAGCUCAGAGCUGCACCCCUGGGAGGAGAACGGUGGAAAAUGUGAAUUCUUGUUGGAAUUUCAGGCGUCACCCCGAGGGAAAAGGCAGUGACACGCAGAGCUCUCCUUGCUGCAGUCACCAGAGGGCACACGUCUGCUGCACUGACACAGAAAUGUUCCCAAUUCGUGCUGUUCUGAGGUGCGUUCAUCCCUGAGAACCACAGAGGGGAGGAGAGACCCCCAAAAUGGGGUAUGUGAGGGCAGGGGUCUGCAGGGAUCUGCUCAGAGCAACGAUGAGCUGAAGGGGAAACCCAAAGCAAAGGGGGAAAACAGCAAAACCAAAGGGGAAACCGAACCAAAAAGGGAAUAAGAAUACAGAGCAAAAGGGAAUGAGGCAGCCCAAAGUUCCCAUGACUUUAUUGAGAAUCGUCACCGAGUGGUGUUAUAAUGGCAGAACAGCUCAACCCAGAGAGGAGCAGCAUUCGGUGAGCGAUG